rnacentral:rRNA from 1 species
AGUGAACGCUGGCGGUAGGCCUAACACAUGCCAGUCGAACGGCAGCACAGUAAGAGCUUGCUCUUACGGGUGGCGAGUGGCGGACGGGUGAGGAAUACAUCGGAAUCUACUUUUUCGUGGGGGAUAACGUAGGGAAACUUACGCUAAUACCGCAUACGACCUACGGGUGAAAGCAGGGGAUCUUCGGACCUUGCGCGAUUGAAUGAGCCGAUGUCGGAUUAGCUAGUUGGCGGGGUAAAGGCCCACCAAGGCGACGAUCCGUAGCUGGUCUGAGAGGAUGAUCAGCCACACUGGAACUGAGACACGGUCCAGACUCCGACGGGAGGCAGCGGUGGCGAAGAUUGGACAAUGGGCGCAAGCCUGAUCCAGCCAUACCGCGUGGGUGAAGAAGGCCUUCGUGUUGUAAAGCCCUUUUGUUGGGAAAGAAAAGCAGCAGGUUAAUACCCCGCUGUUCUGACGGUACCCAAAGAAUAAGCACCGGCUACUUCGUG